CUCACCCCCAACAGUGUCCCGUUUCGAUUGUAGGGUGUUGAAUUUCAACACAUCAUUGUUUACUGAAUUGGGUCACUACGUGUUGGUGAACCCAUUCCAUAUAAGUCAUCAUACACAAAUCAUUAAUAGAUUACUAAAAAACGUUGUCCAUCAAAUUCCAACAUAGGUCAACAGAUCACAAUGACAUCCAAACCAUCUUCGUCACAUUCCCCCUAAACCAACAUGGAAAAGAAAGACCAAUGACUCCGACUAUCACUCAUCAUAUAGCGUAAGGUUAAAAAAUACAUUGACCAUAUAAAACUGCCCAGCAACCAUUUUCUAUCAAAACAGUCUCAAGGUCCAACAAGAACUCGCAGCUACUAGCCCGCCUUUCCGAAACAAUCAUAUUCUACUGCUGUUUGCAUUCUGGAGGCCGCUCACCCUGCUCCCCGACUUGUGCUCUUGCGUUCUUCUACAUUUAUAUAACACAAGUGAUCAGUAUAUGCAUAAAAUAGUUUAUUUUCGACGCAACAAGACUCGUAUAAGAUCUUCAAGUUAUAAACAAAUUUAAGCAACUAGGCAACAUACCUUGUGACUGGCCGAUGUCUGCAUCAGAAUCAAUUCCACAAAAAACAAUAACCGUCAGUUCAAACUACAAUAAUUACAAGGAAGAGAAAAAUGCAAGCGGAGACAGAUGAUCCAAAUUCUACAAACACUGCACCUUCUUUUUGGUUUUGCCUUCAUCUUCAUCGUCUUCAUCCUCCUCGUCUUCUUCGUCCUCAUCUUCUUCCUCUUCGUCAUCUUCCUCUUCGUCGUCUUCAUCUUCGUCUUCCAAGUCACCAAAAUCUUCUCCCUCAAUAGCCUCUCCAGUAAACCAUGAAACAGCAUGAGGGAUGAUCUUAUCUCGAAUGGUAGACCUGCACAAAAAUGAGUGAGAAAAAAAACAAUUUAAACAACGCACUGAAUUAGAAAAUUACCAAAAUAUGCAGCACUAGUAACAAACUCAGAAAUCCGUCUACGGGUAGAAGUUAUAAACUCACCCAAUGUCAUAAUCUUGUUCCAUCUGGUUUUGGAGUUCCUCAGCCUGUUGAAAAAGUGGUACAAAUAAGAAACUACAAAAAAAUAAGCCUUAAAGACAAACAAAGAGUAAAGAAGAGAGUGUUACAGCAUCUUCAUCAAUAUCUUCGUCAUCCUCAGGGACUUGAGGUGGACUGAAAAAGUUGAAGAAACUUUCGCAAUUUUCAGUUCUAGUUAUUGGCUUAGCAUUCUUAGAUCCCUUCUUAGGCUUCUUCUUAAGAAGCUUCUGUGUCAAGCAUUUAGCAGGAUACCAUUCAAUCUCGGUCCUACAAACCACCAGGUAGCAGAUAUUGUAAGUAUGUUCAAACAACCACGUAUAAGUCACCUUGGUAACAGAAGUAUAAACUAAGAAACCGAACUAUUUAGCACAAGGCAAGGCGGGAACCGAACUUACCCUAUUGCUUUCUCGAGAAUGGGUUCAUCUUCAUCAAUCAUGUGGUAAGUCUUUGUCAAGACAGAGUUCUUAAAAAAGGGAUUGGUGUCAAAGUAGAACUCCAGUUUGAAUCCCUUAGGGUUAUCUAUCCUAAACCACUUGAUGUCUCUAAGAUAUUUAAGAGCACCUUCAUCACGCUCAGAUAUCUGAUGAUAGGAAAAUAAAUAAGAAACAAUUGAGCUGACAACAACAGUAUAAUUAUAAACAUCAAAUAUGAGAACUUUAUGCACAAAUAACCACCUCCUCAGCUAGCACUUCGUUGUUUUUCAUUGCAUUGAGCCAGAAAUCAGGCACUCCUUUUUCUGCAAAAUAAAUACGCAAACAAAAGAAUUAAAAUUUGCCAACAAUAAAUAAAACCUAUAUAGGUUCUGACUCCUGAAUAUCUAUCAAGAGUAUACCUUCGGAAUCUUUACCCUCUUCAUCUGUUGCUGCUUCAUUUGUAACGCCUUCAGCUUCAACAACACCAUUUACGAUCUCAUAUCUCUGCAGAGUGAUCAGUACAAAUUAUUUUAAAACCAAAUACAUACAAAGAAAUGGAGUUUUACUCCUCAUGCACAAUAUAGUAAAAGACCUAUAAGCAAAACAGAACCUAAAAUGCAGUAAAAAAUAAGAUCAAUCACACUAACACAGGCUACUGGUGCCACUUCUACCUCGCUCAAGUAGAGUUGUGACAAGCCACUAAACCACAUAGACGUACAGAAUCCACAUAAAGCAGCAAGGAUGAACUAUUCAUGUUCCAAUAUAAGAUACAUAAUCAGUGCGGUAUGUAGAACAGUAGAAUACCUUGGUAUACAAAGGUUGAUACAAUUUCUGAUACUUGGCUUCGAGAGCUGCUCUCUCCUCGAAAAACUUUGCCUCAAGUUCAUCAUGUUGGGUCUGCAAGUAAAGAAAAUCUCAGGGUGUUUCACGCUCGGGGUAAUAUACACACUUUUUUUCAUAUCCCAUCACGUAAUACUAAAACAGUGCUCAAGAAGUUGCACUCAACAAACAACACCAUCAGUUCAUGAGAUAUCAACUCCAACCAAUUUGUCAAUUAAAAUGAACAUUUUGCACAAACCCAAGUAAAACGUCAACCAAAACUCCAAUUGUAAAAAAUUGUUAAACUAUAAUAUGUAGCGGAAAUCCGUCAUAUCAAUCAAAAUUAUGCUAACUAAAUCAAAUUAUAAAUGAUAUAAGGGUUUAAUCUUAUCAAUCAGUUAAUCAAAUAAAGUAUGUAAAGACAUGAAACUAUGAGUAAUCCAGUAUAUCAAAGCACUAAACUACAAGCUUCUGAGCGAGAGAGAAUCAUGCCUGGAUCUCUCUAAGAACAUCUACGCGCUUUCUGACAA
rnacentral:lncRNA from 1 species